CUCAAAUUUGAAAUCUGGCCCCCCUUCCGGGGGUCCCAGUUGUAAUUGGGAGAGGAUGCUUCGGGUGCGGUGCCCAUCUAAGUGCCCUGGAACGGGCCGUCAUAGAGGGUGAGAAUCCCGUCUGGGAUGGGCGGCCGCGCCCGUGUGAAGCUCCUUCGACGAGUCGAGUUGUUUGGGAACGAAGCUCUAAGUGGGAGGUAAAUUUCUUCUAAAGCUAAAUAGCUGGCCAGAGACCGAUAGCGCACAAGUAGAGUGAUCGAAAGAUGAAAAGCACUUUGGAAAGAGAGUUAAAAAGCACGUGAAAUUGUUGAAAGGGAAGCGCUUGCAGCCAGACUUGCCUGUAGUUGCUCAUCCGGGUUUCUACCCGGUGCACUCUUCUACGGGCAGGCCAGCAUCAGUUUGGGCGGUUGGAUAAAGGUCUCUGUCAUGUACCUCCUUUCGGGGAGACUUAUAGCGGGAGACGCCAUGCAGCCAGCCUGGACCGAGGACCGCGCUUCGGCGAGGAUGCUGGCGUAAUGGUGGUCAACGGCCCGUCUUGAAACACGGACCAAGGAGUCUAACAUCUAUGCGAGUGUUCGGGUGUCAAACCCGUCCGCGCAGUGAAAGCGAACGCCGGUGGGAACCCUUCACGGGGCGCACCAUCGACCGAUCCUGAUGUCUUCGGAUGGAUUUGAGUAAGAGCAUAGCUGUUGGGACCCGAAAGAUGGUGAACUAUGCCUGAAUAGGGCGAAGCCAGAGGAAACUCUGGUGGAGGCUCGCAGCGGUUCUGACGUGCAAAUCGAUCGUCAAAUUUGGGUAUAGGGGCG
rnacentral:misc_RNA from 1 species